UCCACAAUGGACGCAAGUCUGAUGGAGCAACGCCGCGUGAGUGAAGAAGGCUUUCGGGUCGUAAAACUCUGUUGUUGGAGAAGAAUGGUCGGCAGAGUAACUGUUGUCGGCGUGACGGUAUCCAACCAGAAAGCCACGGCUAACUACGUGCCAGCAGCCGCGGUAAUACGUAGGUGGCAAGCGUUAUCCGGAUUUAUUGGGCGUAAAGCGAGCGCAGGCGGUUUUUUAAGUCUGAUGUGAAAGCCCUCGGCUUAACCGAGGAAGCGCAUCGGAAACUGGGAAACUUGAGUGCAGAAGAGGACAGUGGAACUCCAUGUGUAGCGGUGAAAUGCGUAGAUAUAUGGAAGAACACCAGUGGCGAAGGCGGCUGUCUGGUCUGUAACUGACGCUGAGGCUCGAAAGCAUGGGUAGCGAACAGGAUUAGAUACCCUGGUAGUCCAUGCCGUAAACGAUGAAUGCUAGGUGUUGGAGGGUUUCCGCCCUUCAGUGCCGCAGCUAACGCAUUAAGCAUUCCGCCUGGGGAGUACGACCGCAAGGUUGAAACUCAAAGGAAUUGACGGGGGCCCGCACAAGCGGUGGAGCAUGUGGUUUAAUUCGAAGCAACGCGAAGAACCUUACCAGGUCUUGACAUCUUUUGAUCACCUGAGAGAUCAGGUUUCCCCUUCGGGGGCAAAAUGACAGGUGGUGCAUGGUUGUCGUCAGCUCGUGUCGUGAGAUGUUGGGUUAAGUCCCGCAACGAGCGCAACCCUUAUGACUAGUUGCCAGCAUUUAGUUGGGCACUCUAGUAAGACUGCCGGUGACAAACCGGAGGAAGGUGGGGAUGACGUCAAAUCAUCAUGCCCCUUAUGACCUGGGCUACACACGUGCUACAAUGGAUGGUACAACGAGUUGCGAGACCGCGAGGUCAAGCUAAUCUCUUAAAGCCAUUCUCAGUUCGGACUGUAGGCUGCAAC
rnacentral:rRNA from 2 species